rfam:Amborella trichopoda AMTR_V1.0_contig_25656, whole genome shotgun sequence.
ACGAGCCAUAUGAGGUGAAAAUCUCAUGUACAGUUCUGUAGAGUGACAAGAAGUAUGACUUAUUUAUCAACUUUUCU